CAGGCUUUAGUCCAUCAUCAUCAUGGCAGCAUGCAUGGUGCUGGAGCAGUAGCUGAGAGUUAUAUCCUCAUCCACAGGACCAGAGAGACACUAGGCCUGGAAUGGAAUUUGGAAGCCUCAAAGUCUACCCCAACAUGGCCACACCUCCUAAUCCUUCUAAUCCUAUCAAAGACUUCCACUACCUGGAUAUUUUUGACCCUAGAUACUUUUUCCUUUAAAUUUGAUGGAGCUGUGAUCAUGCCUCUGACCUCUAGCCUUGAAAGAAGACGAGUUAUGCCUCUCAGGAGUGGUGCCUCGGGCACUUUGCAAGUCGGCUGGCAGGAUUAUUUCCCAGGCUGUGAAGUGAUGACCUUCUACCGAGAGUGA
rnacentral:lncRNA from 1 species